rnacentral:rRNA from 1 species
GGAAUAUUGGACAAUGGGCGAAAGCCUGAUCCAGCAAUGCCGCGUGAGUGAUGAAGGCCUUAGGGUUGUAAAGCUCUUUUACCCGGGAUGAUAAUGACAGUACCGGGAGAAUAAGCUCCGGCUAACUCCGUGCCAGCAGCCGCGGUAAUACGGAGGGAGCUAGCGUUAUUCGGAAUUACUGGGCGUAAAGCGCACGUAGGCGGCUUUGUAAGUAAGAGGUGAAAGCCCAGAGCUCAACUCUGGAAUUGCCUUUUAGACUGCAUCGCUUGAAUCAUGGAGAGGUCAGUGGAAUUCCGAGUGUAGAGGUGAAAUUCGUAGAUAUUCGGAAGAACACCAGUGGCGAAGGCGGCUGACUGGACAUGUAUUGACGCUGAGGUGCGAAAGCGUGGGGAGCAAACAGGAUUAGAUACCCGUG